UGCAAGUCGAACGGUGAAGCCCAGCUUGCUGGGUGGAUCAGUGGCGAACGGGUGAGUAACACGUGAGCAACCUGCCCUCCACUUCGGGAUAAGCCUUGGAAACGGGGUCUAAUACCGGAUAUGAGCACAUGGCGCAUGUCGUGUGUUGGAAAGUUUUUCGGUGGGGGAUGGGCUCGCGGCCUAUCAGCUUGUUGGUGGGGUGAUGGCCUACCAAGGCGUCGACGGGUAGCCGGCCUGAGAGGGCGACCGGCCACACUGGGACUGAGACACGGCCCAGACUCCUACGGGAGGCAGCAGUGGGGAAUAUUGCACAAUGGGCGAAAGCCUGAUGCAGCGACGCCGCGUGAGGGAUGACGGCCUUCGGGUUGUAAACCUCUUUCAGCAGGGAAGAAGGCCUUCGGGUGGACGGUACCUGCAGAAGAAGCGCCGGCUAACUACGUGCCAGCAGCCGCGGUAAUACGUAGGGCGCAAGCGUUGUCCGGAAUUAUUGGGCGUAAAGAGCUCGUAGGCGGUCUGUCGCGUCUGGUGUGAAAACCUCAGGCUCAACCUGGGGCGUGCAUCGGGUACGGGCAGACUAGAGUGCGGUAGGGGAGACUGGAAUUCCUGGUGUAGCGGUGGAAUGCGCAGAUAUCAGGAGGAACACCGAUGGCGAAGGCAGGUCUCUGGGCCGCAACUGACGCUGAGGAGCGAAAGCAUGGGGAGCGAACAGGAUUAGAUACCCUGGUAGUCCAUGCCGUAAACGUUGGGCACUAGGUGUGGGGCUCAUUCCACGAGUUCCGUGCCGCAGCUAACGCAUUAAGUGCCCCGCCUGGGGAGUACGGCCGCAAGGCUAAAACUCAAAGGAAUUGACGGGGGGCCCGCACAAGCGGCGGAGCAUGCGGAUUAAUUCCGAUGCAACGCGAAGAACCUUACCAAAGGUUUGACAUGCACCGGACGCUGCC
rnacentral:rRNA from 1 species